AGCGAACGCUGGCGGCACGCUUAACACAUGCAAGUCGAACGGAAAUUAAUGCUUCGGUAUUGAUUUUAGUGGCAAACGGGUGAGUAAUGCGUAGGAAUUUGCCUUUUAGUGGGGGAUAGUCACGGGAAACUGUGAGUAAUACCGCAUAAUCUCGAAAGAGGAAAGCCUUAGGGCGCUGAAAGAGAAGCCUACGUCGGAUUAGGUAGUUGGUGGGGUAAUAGCCUACCAAGCCGAUGAUCCGUAGCUGGUCUGAGAGGAUGAUCAGCCACACUGGGACUAAGAUACGGCCCAG
rnacentral:rRNA from 1 species